rnacentral:tRNA from 1 species
GGGGUAUAGCUCAGCUGGGAGAGCAUCUGCCUUACAAGCAGAGGGUCACAGGUUCGAUCCCUGUUGUCCCC